rnacentral:rRNA from 1 species
CACACGACUCUCGGCAACGGAUAUCUCGGCUCUCGCAUCGAUGAAGAACGUAGAGAAAUGCGAUACCUGGUGUGAAUUGCAGAAUCCCGCGAACCAUCGAGUCUUUGAACGCAAGUUGCUCCCGAGGCCACUCGGCCGAGGGCACGCCUGCCUGGGCGUCACGC